GGUAAAACAAGACUACUUUGGAGAGCUCUGAAUACUACAAAUUACAGUAUUCCAGAAAACAAAUUUCAUUGGCGAAAUUGUCUAAAUUUAUCACAAGAAAGGGAGAAGAAGUGUCUUAUUUAGCUACCCUUUCUGCAAUUCUUUGAAAUUAUACUGUGGGUGUUCUAUCUGCCCAGACCUGAAGAAAUAAGCUAAGAUGACCCUCUUCUAGACCAGAAAACCUAAUAUUUGGUGACCAGGUCUUCUUGCACAUAUUUUAUUUUUUU